AGGAAGAGGAGGAGGUGGCGGUGCUGUUUUCCAGGGACGGCGCCGCUGGACCUUGCGGUUUGGCCCUCGGCCGCAAUGGCUUAGACCUCCUGGUGACCGGGCGGGGAACGGUUUCACUUCCCCACAGAAACUUACUCGACAUUCCUGAAUAAAUUCGAGGAGUUACGAUCCACGGUUCCUCGAGAGGAAACGGUUUCUAAAUCGGAAGCCCCUUUGCGGGGUGCCUUGCGGGUCGCACGAAGUCCGGCGCCUCCCGAUCCCAUGUAAAUAACAACAUCCCAAAUUAAAGAUGCCUCUCUGUGGAGCCUGA